CAAGCUCUCUGGUCUCCUCUUAUAAGGGCACUCAUUCAUGAUGGCCCCACCCUCAUGACCUAGUAACUUCCCAAAGACUCUACCUCCUAAUACCAUCAGAUUGUAGGCUGCAAUUUCAACAUAAUGGUUUUGGGUUAACACAAACAUUCAGUCUGUAACAGACUGUUCUAAAUUCUAAGAAAGUUCUAAAUUCUGAGGGGGAAGAAAAAAGGAGAAUCGUACAUUCACUCUGAAAAUACAAACAGGGAAGAUUAGCUCUUGAAUCAUGAUGGAAAGAAGCCUUGUUAUGUCCUACUAAUCAAACUACAAGUAAUAUCAUCGGAUUCAUGCAUCGGCCUCUCAAAAAAGAAUAUAAUUAUUUACUUAAAUAUCAUGCAAAUAUAGAUAACUAAGUUAUCACCCCCUUUUUUCAUUUUUCAAACUCUUCAUAUUGGAAUUGGGAUCUUUUCUUUGACAUAAUCUGGACAUGCUUGGCUGCUGGUUUAGCAGUUGAUGACAAAACUCUGGAAGUAAUCUUUUCACAAUGCUAAAAUACAAGAUCUCCUGCUUGCAACUGGUCUCUGACUAAAUUAAAUGAAAGCAAUCACGCAGCGAAAAAAAAAAAAAGUUGAGUCUGUGAUCACUGUUGAAAUGACUAACAGUGACUUCCUCCACUG
rnacentral:lncRNA from 1 species